AAGGACUCCCUUUUACCGACCGGGGAGCGGAGGCGCGCGGAGGUGAAGUGUCUAGCCCAGACAGGAGGCUGGUCAGAACUCAGAGUCUCGGCUCAGGACUUCCCUGGUGGUCCAGUGUUUAUAAGAAUCUGCCUUCCAAUGCAGGGAGAAUGAUCGCAACUCUACCCAUGGUGGGUGCAGAUGUCAAAGGAGGCUUCCUGGAGGAGGUGACACACCCGAGCAAGACUUGAAAGAUAAAUGAGGUGAG